rnacentral:rRNA from 1 species
AGAGUUUGAUCCUGGCUCAGGAUGAACGCUAGCUACAGGCUUAACACAUGCAAGUCGAGGGGCAGCAUCAUCAAAGCUUGCUUUGAUGGAUGGCGACCGGCGCACGGGUGAGUAACACGUAUCCAACCUGCCGACAACACUGGGAUAGCCUUUCGAAAGAAAGAUUAAUACCGGAUGGCAUAGUUUUUCCGCAUGGGAUAAUUAUUAAAGAAUUUCGGUUGUCGAUGGGGAUGCGUUCCAUUAGGCAGUUGGCGGGGUAACGGCCCACCAAACCAACGAUGGAUAGGGGUUCUGAGAGGAAGGUCCCCCACAUUGGAACUGAGACACGGUCCAAACUCCUACGGGAGGCAGCAGCGAGGAAUAUUGGUCAAUGGACGAGAGUCUGAACCAGCCAAGUAGCGUGAAGGAUGACUGCCCUAUGGGUUGUAAACUUCUUUUAUACGGGAAUAAAGUUAGCCACGUGUGGCUUUUUGUAUGUACCGUAUGAAUAAGGAUCGGCUAACUCCGUGCCAGCAGCCGCGGUAAUACGGAGGAUCCGAGCGUUAUCCGGAUUUAUUGGGUUUAAAGGGAGCGUAGGCGGGUUGUUAAGUCAGUUGUGAAAGUUUGCGGCUCAACCGUAAAAUUGCAGUUGAUACUGGCGACCUUGAGUGCAACAGAGGUAGGCGGAAUUCGUGGUGUAGCGGUGAAAUGCUUAGAUAUCACGAAGAACUCCGAUUGCGAAGGCAGCUCACUGGAGUGUAACUGACGCUGAUGCUCGAAAGUGUGGGUAUCAAACAGGAUUAGAUACCCUGGUAGUCCACACAGUAAACGAUGAAUACUCGCUGUUUGCGAUAUACAGUAAGCGGCCAAGCGAAAGCAUUAAGUAUUCCACCUGGGGAGUACGCCGGCAACGGUGAAACUCAAAGGAAUUGACGGGGGCCCGCACAAGCGGAGGAACAUGUGGUUUAAUUCGAUGAUACGCGAGGAACCUUACCCGGGCUUAAAUUGCAAAUGAAUUAUGGGGAAACCCAUAGGCCGUAAGGCAUUUGUGAAGGUGCUGCAUGGUUGUCGUCAGCUCGUGCCGUGAGGUGUCGGCUUAAGUGCCAUAACGAGCGCAACCCUUAUCUUCAGUUACUAACAGGUCAUGCUGAGGACUCUGGAGAGACUGCCGUCGUAAGAUGUGAGGAAGGUGGGGAUGACGUCAAAUCAGCACGGCCCUUACGUCCGGGGCCACACACGUGUUACAAUGGUAGGUACAGAGGGCAGCUACCCUGCGAAGGGAUGCGAAUCUCGAAAGCCUAUCUCAGUUCGGAUUGGAGGCUGAAACCCGCCUCCAUGAAGUUGGAUUCGCUAGUAAUCGCGCAUCAGCCAUGGCGCGGUGAAUACGUUCCCGGGCCUUGCACUCACCGCCCGUCAAG